rnacentral:rRNA from 1 species
UGGGGAAUAUUGCACAAUGGGCGAAAGCCUGAUGCAGCAACGCCGCGUGCGGGAUGACGGCCUUCGGGUUGUAAACCGCUUUCAGCUCCGACGAAGCGCAAGUGACGGUAGGAGCAGACGAAGGACCGGCCAACUACGUGCCAGCAGCCGCGGUGAUACGUAGGGUCCGAGCGUUGUCCGGAAUUAUUGGGCGUAAAGGGCUUGUAGGCGGUCUGUCGCGUCGGAAGUGAAAACUCAGGGCUUAACCCUGAGCCUGCUUCCGAUACGGGCAGACUAGAGGGAUGCAGGGGAGAACGGAAUUCCUGGUGGAGCGGUGGAAUGCGCAGAUAUCAGGAGGAACACCGGUGGCGAAGGCGGUUCUCUGGGCAUUUCCUGACGCUGAGAAGCGAAAGCGUGGGGAGCAAACAGGCUUAGAUACCCUGGUAGUCCACGCCGUAAACGGUGGGCACUAGGUGUGGGGAACAUUCCACGUUCUCCGUGCCGAAGCUAACGCAUUAAGUGCCCCGCCUGGGGAGUACGGCCGCAAGACUA